GACGAACGCUGGCGGCGUGCCUAACACAUGCAAGUCGAGCGAAUGAAGUUCCUUCGGGAACGGAUUUAGCGGCGGACGGGUGAGUAACACGUGGGCAACCUGCCUCAUAGAGGGGAAUAGCCUUCCGAAAGGACGAUUAAUCUAGCAUAAGAUUGUAGCUUCGCAUGAAGCAGCAAUUAAAGGAGCAAUCCGCUAUGAGAUGGGCCCGCGGCGCAUUAGCUAGUUGGUGAGGUAACGGCUCACCAAGGCGACGAUGCGUAGCCGACCGGAGAGGGUGAUCGGCCGCAUUGGGACUGAGACACGGCCCAGACUCCUACGGGAGGCAGCAGUGGGGAAUAUUGCACAAUGGGGGAAACCCUGAUGCAGCAACGCCGCGUGAGUGAUGACGGUCUUCGGAUUGUAAAGCUCUGUCUUCAGGGACGAUAAUGACGGUACCUGAGGAGGAAGCCACGGCUAACUACGUGCCAGCAGCCGCGGUAAGAC
rnacentral:rRNA from 1 species